rnacentral:rRNA from 1 species
GACGAACGCUGGCGGCGUGCCUAAUACAUGCAAGUCGAGCGGACUGAUUAAGAGCUUGCUCUUAUGACGUUAGCGGCGGACGGGUGAGUAACACGUGGGCAACCUGCCCUGUAGAUCGGGAUAACACCGAGAAAUCGGUGCUAAUACCGGGUAAUAUCUGAGAUCACAUGAUCUUAGGUUAAAAGAUGGCUCCGGCUAUCACUACAGGCUGGGCCCGCGGCGCAUUAGCUAGUUGGUAAGGUAAUGGCUUACCAAGGCGACGAUGCGUAGCCGACCUGUGAGGGUGAUCGGCCACACAGGGACUGAGACACGGCCCAGACUCCUACGGGAGGCCGCAGUAGGGAAUCUUCCGCAAUGGACGAAAGUCUGACGGAGCAACGCCGCGUGAGUGAUGAAGGGUUUCGGCGCGUAAAGCGCUGUUGUUAGGGAAGAAACAGUACCGAACGAACUAGGUCGGUACCUUGACGGUACCUAACCAGAAAGCCACGGCUAACUACGUG